rnacentral:rRNA from 1 species
GAUUAAGUUAUUAAGGGCGCACGGUGGAUGCCUUGGCACUAGAAGCCGAUGAAGGACGUUACUAACGACGAUAUGCUUUGGGGAGCUGUAAGUAAGCUUUGAUCCAGAGAUUUCCGAAUGGGGAAACCCAGCACGAGUUAUGUCGUGUUAUCUGCAUGUGAAUACAUAGCAUGCAAGAAGGCAGACCCGGAGAACUGAAACAUCUUAGUACCCGGAGGAAGAGAAAGAAAAAUCGAUUCCCUGAGUAGCGGCGAGCGAAACGGGAAGAGCCCAAACCAAUAAGCUUGCUUAUUGGGGUUGUAGGACACUCUGUACGGAGUUACAAAAGAAUUUGUUAGACGAAUAACCUGGAAAGGUUAAUCA